GUGAACGUUGGCGGUUUGGAUUAGGCAUGCAAGUCGAGCGAAUUAAUAUCAGAGCUUGCUCUGGUAUUAGUUAGCGGCGAACGGGGUAGUAACACGUAUCAAAUCUACCCUCAAGCAAGGAAUAAUUCGGCGAAAGUCGAACUAAUACCUUAUAGCCCGAUACUUCGCAAGAGGUAUCGGUAAAGGAGCAAUCCACUUGAGGAAGAGGGUGCGUCCGAUCAGCUAGUUGGUUGAGGUAACUGCUCACCAAGGCGAAGACCGGUAGGGGACCUGAGAGGGUGACCCCCACCAAAGGCACUGAGACACGGGCCUUACUCCUACGGGAGGCAGCAGCCGAGAAUAUUGCGCAAUGGGCGAAAGCCUGACGCAGCGAAACCGCGUGCCGGAAGAAGCUCUUCGGAGUGUAAACGGCUUUUGUGAGAGAAGAAAUUAUUGACGGUAUCUCACGAAUAAGAGACGACUAACUUCGU
rnacentral:rRNA from 1 species